CCCACGACUGCUGCAUAACCAUUGUCAUGUUAUAUGCAGUUACACUGCACCAUCCGAUCAAGAUGCAUGAUCUCAUCCUUCGCCAGGUAAUCAGGAACCGUCACUGAUCUCACAUUUCUUUCAACUCUUAUCCUUGGAUUUUACCCUCUUGCUUCCAUCAUUUUCUUUAGAUGCCUUCUUUUUGCCUUGUUUUUCUUUAGAUGCUUUCUUUCUUUUUGCAGGCACUGUUCCCAUCUCGUUUUCCUUUUGGAUCUCGUUCACAUUCUGUGCUUGCACUGUAACUUCUCUGUCGGUAAAAUUGGAAUCAAAAACAUUAUUAGUAAGAUGCUGCUUGAGGAAAACCGCUGAAAGAAGCUGCCUCCCACAAGCGCAAAUAGCUAUCAAGACCACAAGAUCCUAUCACAGGGAGCUCAGGAUGCUUGGCAAUGGAUCUGAUGCUCCCAGAACACUUCCCCAAAAAGCAUCCUAACAAUUUCCCUGUGCGUAUGUCAACAGAUGCAAGAUCACCAGACCCAUUUCCUAUAUAGAUUGUAUGGCCAUCUUGAUCUUCAGUGACUGCUUUAAUGGGGGUCUCGCAGAAAUCAAAUGAAAUUACAGGUCUGCGCUGAGCAGAAGUAUCAUACAGGCGAACCUGAUGGCUGUUGGUGCCAGCUACAAAUUUACGGUGAUCAUUGUUAGUCAGGAAUGUUGCAGAUGUAAACCAUGUUGGAGUAAAAAUACCAAGGCUGUUUUUAGGAGGAGGUUUUGCAGUCCAAAUCUUAGAACACUUCUCAAGAUCCCAUAGAUUGACUUCCACAGCUUUCCCUCCAAAUAAAGCAUAGUUUUCACUUCCAUCCACUUUAGAACAUAAAAUAUUACCAGAAGCACUAACUUUCCAGGUUCUAGAGGUACAAGUACUGGCAUCAUCUACAGUCGAACUGGUAACUUCAAUGGACCGCAUGCUUGCAUUUCCUUUUGUUGUACAUGCAAGCAAAGUGCAUGACCCAGAUAAUCUCUGUCUUUUGAAUAAAUGCAAACCAACAACAGCAUCGUCCUCAGGUUGAGUACCAGCAUCACCAACACUGGAAAUUGAAACGUCAAUUUCCCCAUUAAGUGGAUUGAGUACUUCAAUCACACCACU
rnacentral:misc_RNA from 1 species